rnacentral:rRNA from 1 species
UACGUAGGUGGCAAGCGUUGUCCGGAAUUAUUGGGCGUAAAGCGCGCGCAGGUGGGAUCUUAAGUCCAUUUUUAAAGUUCGGAGCUCAACUCCGUGAUGGGAUGGAAACUGGGAUUCUUGAGUACCGGAGAGGAAAGCGGAAUUCCCCGUGUAGCGGUGAAAUGCGUAGAUAUGGGGAGGAACACCAGUGGCGAAGGCGGCUUUCUGGACGGUGUCUGACACUGAGGCGCGAAAGCCAGGGGAGCGAACGGGAUUAGAUACCC